AUACGGAGGGUGCAAGCGUUGUCCGGAUUUAUUGGGUUUAAAGGGUCCGUAGGCGGGAAUCUAAGUCAGUGGUGAAAUCUUGCAGCUCAACUGUAAAAUUGCCAUUGAUACUGGGUUUCUUGAAUUAGUGUGAAGUGGUUAGAAUGUGUAGUGUAGCGGUGAAAUGCAUAGAUAUUACACAGAAUACCAAUUGCGAAGGCAGAUCACUAACACUAUAUUGACGCUGAGGGACGAAAGCGUGGGGAGCGAACAGGAUUAGAAACCCGAGUAGUCC
rnacentral:rRNA from 1 species